CUUUAUUUUUCUAUAUGAAGUCAAAAAUAUAUAAUGAAAAUAUUAUAUAACAAAUACAUACAAAAAGCUUUCAACAAUUGCUAAAACAAUCUGGUUAUUUAAAGGGCAAAACAUUCCAUAGGACCUUAAGACAAUGAAUUACAAAUCUAUAUGUUAUGUAUACGCGUAAUGCAACCUGGAUUGAAAAGUUAAAACUUAAAAGUUAAAACAAAUGGAAUAUUUCAGAGUAAAACUAACGGUAUUUUUUUCAUUAGAACUACAUAUAUUACCACUAAACCAAAUGUGUUAAUAUUAAUAUGUAUCUUUUAAAUAAUGAGGAGAAAUAUACGGCACGCUAAUGGGAAAAUUUUGUUAUGCAUUGCAAAGGACAAUUUCUUGAGACUUUCCAAAUAUAAUUGUGAAAAGUUAAAAAAAAAAAUAAGACAAGAGUCUUGAAUUUCAAUUUUCUACUUGUCAUUAAACUAAAAUGUCAUAGGGAAUGUUUGGAGAGAACAAUAAAUAUUAACAUGUAAGAAAAAAAUCCAAAUAGGGGUAAAAUAUGAAUCUUUUAAAAUGAUAGUAAUAGAGAAAAAUACUGUCAGGCAAUUUUUCAGAGAACUACUAAAAGUAACUCACGAAGAGUAUAAGUGAAAUGUGAAACAUAAUAACAGCAAACAUCCAUACAUUCUGAAUUUGCAGUACAUCAAAAUGUCAGCAAUGGUGCCUAAAUGGGGAGAGACUUAAAUUCUGUUCCAUGAGCCAAUGCUCUGUGUUGAAGGCUAUACUUUGACCUAUAACUUUUUACACAUUGUAGCUUGGUUGCAGAGUUGUCUCAUUAGCACCCAUCCCACAUCUUCUUAUUUCUGUGCAAGAACUAUAGAAUCAAAUGCAAAUUUAAAAUCUGGCCAAAUGCUGUUUUGAUAUUUAUCUUUUAAAUCAAAAAAAGAUAUAAUAAAGGUUACUGGAAGUAUUUUCACUUCAAUACUUAAGAAAAUUCCUGAGGAUUAAUAAAGUGUAAGAUAAUGGAUAUGUUAUUAAUGGAUAUCUUUACUUCUGAAAAUUGGUUGUGGUAUAAUGAUAAUGUUUGUGAAACACAAUAACAUACCCUUCAUCCAUCUGUGAAAAAAUAAAUUUUUGUGUGUGCUAAUAUUCCUUGAUGUCAUGGUACUAUCAAAUCACAAAUUUAUACUAUUUCUUUUUAUAGAUAUUCAUUUAUUUAGCUGUUCUUUUUUUAGUACAAAUACAAUCCUUUCAUAAUCAACAAAAUACUAAAUAUAAUACAAUCUGAAACAAAGUACCACCAACAAUAACCGGCGUUUUCACACCAUGAUCAAGUGCAAAACAUAACAUUCAGUAUUUUUACAAAGCUUUUAUCAAAAGUAAUAAGCUUUAAGCCUGUCUGGAAUUUUAUUAACAAAACAAUAAUUGUUUCUGGAUAUUUACUAUCAAACAUUCAGAAACCAGGUGCUCCGCAGGGCGCAGCUUUAUACGACCGCAGAGGUCGAACCCUGAACAGUUGGGGCAAGUAUGGACAAAACAUUCAAGCAUGAUACAGCUCUGAAUUUGGAUUGUGAUCAAAUUUUUGACAUUACAUGGUUUUUUUUUACACAAAACAAAUGCCAAGAUUUUACAAAUCAAUUAAAGAUUUCUUCUUCAAACUUUUUAAAUCUAAAAUUAAAUAGUUGACACAGCAUAGGUUUCUGACACAGAAUGAAUGUGGUCUAAUGAACUUAAAAGGUUUUUUUUGCCUUUGAGCAAUUCACUAUGCUGUUGAAUAUUAAUCCUCUCAAAAAAAUGUUUGAAGAAAUUUUCUUUUUAUUUAUGAAAUCUGAAAUGAGAAAAAUUUAACCCCCCCCCUUUUUUUUUCACAUCCCCGUUUCCCUUUUUCAAAACUGAUAUCAAUUCAAAUUUCUAAUGGAGUUUGCAACAAUAACUACUCAUUUAAAUACAUCAUAAAAUAUUAAGAUGUAAAAAACUGCUUGUUAUCACUG
rnacentral:lncRNA from 1 species